AGUGCUGGGAUUACAGGUGCUACCACACCUGGCUGCAUCACUUGUUUACAGUAGUAUCAAAUGAUUGGAGUUUUCCUUCUGUUUUUAGUCAGAAAGGCAGAAACUUUAUGAAGAGACAAGUCAGAAGUCCCUCUUUAGAUGUAUGAGCUUCUAUAAUGAUAUUGGAAAAUUAUACAUUUUGAACAUUCAUUGAAAACUCCUGCAAUGGUUCAAGCUAUUUUGGAAAUUCUCAGUUGAAAGGUCACGUUCUCAGAGUGGCCAUCCCUGACUACAAAACUGGUUACUUCAAUAUCCCAUUUAUUUCUUUCAUGGAUGUUAUCACAGAGUCUGCUUAUAUUAUUUAUAGUUUUAUUAUAUAUUUUUCUUUCCAUUAAUUUAAAUGCCAUGUGACUAAAAAAUGUUUCCAACUUUUACUCCUGGAUUUCAAGGCUUCGCACAAUAUGCAGCAAAAAUAAUGAAGAAAUUAGUGAAUGGAUGAAUAUAAACAUAUAGACAUAUGUCACAGGAAUUUUGACAAAACAUACAUGUUAAUAAAAACCUGAAAAAGUAAAUGAAAUGACAUGGAGCUAUUCUUCUUUUUCCUCAAAAUUAU
rnacentral:lncRNA from 1 species